AAUACUUAUGGAUAUUUAGCGUGACAGAUGUACAAGAAUCCGUGCUUUCUUAAAAAUUUCACGGACAUUUAUUAUAUUGGCUUUUAUCUAAUUAUUGUAACUGUUUAAUAUGCCCCAUAUUUGUCCGAGAUCGUGCAGCAGCUUAGCAACAGCUGCUGUCUUCGUCUCAGUUGGAGUCGUCCAAAUUUUUGCCGGUUUUAUUUUCUUGCAGUCUAAGUACGUUUACCUUCUAGCUGCUCCAGACAUUUGAACUGCCUUUUCUAAUUUCUCCUUCGGGGCUGCGCUUGGCAUAUCUUCACAGAUAUGGAAGAAUCUCAGAAAAGCUUCUGCAAAGCACAUGUUAAAAAGAAAUCUUCUGUCUGCCUUGAUGUUUUCAGCGAUUAUUAUAAAUACAACAACAAUUACUCUUCUGAUUCUGGGAGAGAACAAUGCUUUGCUGGCGAUUUAUCUUGACAUCAAUGGGAGAUACCACUCUGUGACUCUAGCAAGCGAACUUCAAGCAUAUGGUAAGUAAAUUACGGGAAAGAGUACAAUCAAGAAGUUUCGGAGGUUUAUGACAAAGCAUACAAGGGCUCUCUGCAUAAGGGAAGAGACAACAUCGUUAUGGUUUUUUACUCCGCCAUUAAGAGUAAGGAGCCUACAUGGCAUGGCAAAUCGUAUCCGCGUUUACGUAUGGAGAAAUCCACGAAAACGCCUAUGUAACCAGCCAGUUCGCUCCAAAACUCGAACCUCAGAAAAAACUACCAGUGUUAAGUGACUUUUACUGCUCCAUCUGCUGGUGGGCCUAGGACAAUACUUGCCAACAGUUUUCUACAGAAAGCUAUAUGCUGCAGGGUUGCUUAGUGGCCAUUAUUAAAAUAAAUAUAUUGUUCUUAUCGCUCAUAAAAGCGGUGUUGAUUUCAAAGUAACUAUUAACUCUAAAAUGUCUUUAAAGUCUCAAUGUUUUAUUUUGCUUCUUUUUUUAUUACUAGGAAUGUUUUGUUCAGAAAAAUCUUAUCGUAGUCGAAAGGAAAUUUUUAUUUCCAUCGGAAGUGUCAAGCUGGCGUAGAUAUCUGCCUAGAAAAUAAAUGUUUGGUACAUUUUAUUCUUAAGAUUAAAGGUGUGAGAUUUCUAAAUGAAAUUGGUUCUUAUUUAUAUUUCCCUUUUGUAGGCACUUUAUUUAGCCCACAAGUAGGGACACAGAAGAUCUAGAGAGACAUUGUUUGUCAGAGGGUUCAACAAGAAAGCAUUGUGAAAUACAUGGGCUAUAAGAACAUGCUUGGAAAAUUAGACUUCCUAAAUAAAUUUAAAACAAAUACUAAAUCAUUUACUUUCUGAUCAUUAAAACUUAAUUACCAUCAUGAAUUUUUUUUUAAGUUUGUAAAAAUCGUA